rnacentral:rRNA from 1 species
GACGAACGCUGGCGGCGUGCCUAAUACAUGCAAGUCGAACGAGAGCAACCGGUGCUUGCACUGGUCAAUCUAGUGGCGAACGGGUGAGUAACACGUGGGUAACCUGCCCAUCAGAGGGGGAUAACAUCCGGAAACGGAUGCUAAAACCGCAUAGGUCUUCGAACCGCAUGGUUUGAAGAGGAAAAGAGGCGCAAGCUUCUGCUGAUGGAUGGACCCGCGGUGCAUUAGCUAGUUGGUGAGGUAACGGCUCACCAAGGCCGUGAUGCAUAGCCGACCUGAGAGGGUGAUCGGCCACAUUGGGACUGAGACACGGCCCACACUCCUACGGGAGGCAGCAGUAGGGAAUCUUCCGCAACGGACGCAAGUCUGACGGAGCAACGCCGCGUGAGUGAAGAAGGUUUUCGGAUCGUAAAACUCUGUUGUUAGAGAAGAACAAGUGCUAGAGUAACUGUUAGCGCCUUGACGGUAUCUAACCAGAAAGCCACGGCUAACUACGUG